GAUGGUAACUGUUAGUAUGAAAGAGUUUCUAUGUAUUUUUUUGCUAUGGUAUAUUUUUCCAUAGGCGGGGUUUUUAUGUGGUUAAAUACAGUACGGUACACUAGUACCAGUGAUAGACAUAUCACAGUAGGGGAAAUACGGUAAAUUAUGUGGGGUUUUCACCUGGGAGAGUGGGAGCCAAUCAGAAUUUACCUUGGCCGUCACUGCGCUCCGAGUCACACACAGAGCAGCAAGGCAUGGCGCAGCACCUGACGCUGUCUGCGUCCGUAAAACCUCAAGCUAUGGCGUAGGAACAGGUUUAUAGAACUUCCCAGGGUUCGAGUGAUGGGGACCAUGCAGUUGGGGUCCUGUGGCCAGUGUGGGGACGGGAUAACACGAGAGUGACGGCACCCAGGCCAUUUCAACUUCCACCUACAUCCUUCGUCACGGCUGCUCGUCACGGACUCUUCUCAGACGGCUCAGACGCUUCGUGAAGACGUCACAGACAGUCACGCCACGACAGGGAUGAGGAAGGGCCUGGACACUUCAACGACUCCUGAGGAACCCCUAUGACUUCAGAGACAGGGUGAAUCUACAUCACAGCCCUCUGCUACGUCUAUAUGAACAUUCGUGUACUUAAGUAUUGUGUUAACAUUUAAAUAGGACAUUGAUGUGGCCUACACCUACAUGUAGUUGUGACACUACAGAACUGUGCUUAUACCCCCAGUGGGGUAACUAGUGGAACUAACUAUUAAGCUUAGUUGUGUGAAUACUUCAUGACCAAAGCCUUAUAUUUCAGGAACUUUACAUAAUUAGAACAUUGUUUACUUUCUAGUCUUGGAUACAAAACUUAUUACUAUGUAGGGUGUGACAGGGAUACUCGAGUCUAGUCAUGAGAGUGUAUGUUGAUGCUGUGUGGUAAUCAGUAUGCAAUAGAGCGUUUGAUCCUAGUGCGAUUACCACCAGGUAAUAGUUCCUUUUACAGAGAGAAACUCAAUCGUUAUCACUUGUGUAGAUUCUGUACACAUAUAUAUAGUGAAUUGUUAAUACAUUUGUUGAAUUUA